GACACCGUAGCAGAAUUGGUUUAUGCACCGCACUUAAAAUGCGUACUACUAUGUAGGUAUGGGUUCGAGUCCCAUCGGUGUCA
rnacentral:tRNA from 1 species